rnacentral:rRNA from 1 species
AUACGGAGGGUGCAAGCGUUACUCGGAAUCACUGGGCGUAAAGCGCGCGCAGGCGGCUAUUUAAGUUGGAUGUGAGAGCCUACGGCUCAACCGUAGAACUGCAUCCAAAACUAUUUAGCUAGAGUGUGGGAGAGGAAGAUGGAAUUAGUUGUGUAGAGGUAAAAUCCGUAGAGAUAACUAGGAAUACCAAAAGCGAAGGCAAUCUUCUGGAACACUACUGACGCUGAGGCGCGAAAGCGUGGGGAGCAAACAGGAUUAGAUACCCUAGUAGUCC